rnacentral:rRNA from 1 species
AUUGAAACUUCGGUCGAUUUAAUUUAUUUCUAGUGGCGGACGGGUGAGUAACGCGUGGGUAACCUGCCUUAUACAGGGGGAUAGCAACCAGAAAUGGUUGCUAAUACCGCAUAAGCGCACAGAACCGCAUGGUUCGGUGUGAAAAACUCCGGUGGUAUAAGAUGGACCCGCGUUGGAUUGGCUGGUUGGCAGGGCAGCGGCCUACCAAGGCGACGAUCCAUAGCCGGCCUGAGAGGGUGAACGGCCACAUUGGGACUGAGACACGGCCCAGACUCCUACGGGAGGCAGCAGUGGGGAAUAUUGCACAAUGGGGGAAACCCUGAUGCAGCGACGCCGCGUGAAGGAAGAAGUAUCUCGGUAUGUAAACUUCUAUCAGCAGGGAAGAUAAUGACGGUACCUGACUAAGAAGCCCCGGCUAACUACGUGCCAGCAGCCGCGGUAAUACGUAGGGGGCAAGCGUUAUCCGGAUUUACUGGGUGUAAAGGGAGCGUAGACGGCGCAGCAAGUCUGAUGUGAAAGGCGGGGGCUCAACCCCUGGACUGCAUUGGAAACUGUUAGUCUUGAGUGCCGGAGAGGUAAGCGGAAUUCCUAGUGUAGCGGUGAAAUGCGUAGAUAUUAGGAGGAACACCAGUGGCGA